GCCGAAAUAGCUAGAUGAGAGCGUUAGACUGAAGAUCUAAAGGUCCCUGGUUCGAUCCCGGUUUCGCA
rnacentral:tRNA from 13 species